GGGUCUGUGGUCUAGGGGUAUGACACUCCCUUAGCAUCUACCUGUCCAAUAGGGAGAGCUUGCAAUGUGGGAGAGGUCCCGGGUUCAAUUCCCGGCGGAUCCA